GACGAACGCUGGCGGCGUGCUUAACACAUGCAAGUCGAACGGAAAGGCCCUGCUUUUGUGGGGUGCUCGAGUGGCGAACGGGUGAGUAACACGUGAGUAACCUGCCCUUGACUUUGGGAUAACUUCAGGAAACUGGGGCGAAUACCGGAUAGGAGCUCCUGCUGCAUGGUGGGGGUUGGAAAGUUUCGGCGGUUGGGGAUGGACUCGCGGGUUAUCAGCUUGUUGGUGGGGUAGUGGCUUACCAAGGCUUUGACGGGUAGCCGGCCUGGGAGGGUGACCGGCCACAUUGGGACUAAGAUACGGCCCAGACUCCUACGGGAGGCAGCAGUGGGGAAUAUUGCACAGUGGGCGGAAGCCUGAUGCAGCAGCGCCGCGUGCGGAAUGACGGCCUUCGGGUUGUAAACCGCUUUCGCCUGUGACGAAGCGUGAGUGACGGUAAUGGGUAAGGAAGCACCGGCUAACUACGUG
rnacentral:rRNA from 1 species